rnacentral:rRNA from 1 species
GAUGAACGCUGGCGGCGUGCCUAAUACAUGCAAGUCGAGCGAACGGACGAGAAGCUUGCUUCUCUGAUGUUAGCGGCGGACGGGUGAGUAACACGUGUAUCACCUACUUAUAUGACUGGGAUAACUUCGGGAAACCGGCGCUAAUACCGGAUAAUAUUUUGAACCGCAUGGUUCAAAAGUGAAAGACGGUCUUGCUGUCACUUAUAGAUGGAUCCGCGCUGCAUUAGCUAGUCGGUAAGGUAACGGCUUACCACGGCGACGAUGCAUAGCCGACCUGAGGGGGUGAUCGGCCACACUGGAACUGAGACGCGGUCCAGACUCCGACGGGCGGCAGCAGUAGGGAAUCGUCGGCAAUGGGCGAAAGCCUGACGGAUCAACGCCGCGUGAGUGAUGAAGGUCUUCGGAUCGUAAGACUCUGUUAUUAGGGAAGAACAUAUGUGUAAGUAACUGUGCACAUCUUGACGGUACCUAAACAGAAAGCCACGGCUAACUACGUG